rnacentral:rRNA from 1 species
UACGUAGGGGGCAAGCGUUGUCCGGAUUUACUGGGCGUAAAGCGCGUGUAGGCGGCCACGCAGGUCCGUUGUGAAAACUAGAGGCUCAACCUCUAGACGUCGACGGAAACCGUAUGGCUAGAGUCCGGAAGAGGAGAGUGGAAUUCCUGGUGUAGCGGUGAAAUGCGCAGAUAUCAGGAAGAACACCAAUGGCGAAGGCAGCUCUCUGGGACGGUACUGACGCUGAGACGCGAAAGCGUGGGGAGCGAACAGG